rnacentral:lncRNA from 1 species
AUGAGCACACAGAGAGCUCAGCUGGACACACACUUCAGUCCUCCAUCAAACACAACACACCUACACACUGUUUCCACCAGCUGCAGCACAGUCCAGUCUUUACAGUCAGGGAGGGCUUUUAUUUUGAAAGGCACCAUGCAGGAAGUUUCAGAGGAACAGAAGAAGAACCAAAGGAUGGUCUGUGAUGUUAAGGUUAGUGUGAUCAGCAUCAGCUGGAAAUAUGAAACAUAUCAAACAUGUGAGGAAGAAGCAGCAGCAGCUCACACGUUUACCACAACCACACACAGUCCUCUGAGAGCAGCGUGGCCUCCAUCUUUGAAACACACAAAAUCAAACGCACAAACUCACUGUUUGAUUAUUGAUUGAUUGAUUUUCAGAGAUAAGUAAUUAAAGUUUAUUUAUUAAGCACUUUUCACAGCGGUCACAAAGCGCUUCACACAAAAGGCUCAAAUAAACAUGAACAUUAAGUGAAAAAUAAAGAUUCAAUAAGACAGUAAAAUAAACAGAUAGUUUUAAAAUAAAUAAAUAAUAAAUCAAUAAAAUGUUUGUCAUUAGAAAGCCUGUAAAACAGAAACAUUUGAACUGCUUUUUUAAAGAAUCCACAGAGUGGACUAAACGUAGUUGUGGAGGCAGACUGUUCCACAGCCUUGGUGCCACAGACUGAAAGGCUCUGUCACACUUAGUCUUUAGUCGUGUACAGGGAACAACUAACACAUCAUGAGUCCGUGAACGGAGACAACGAGCAGCAUAUAUUUUGUAAGAAGUUGACAUAAAUAAUCUAGGACGUGAUCAUUUAGUGUUCUGUGUGUUAAAACAAGAAUUUUGAAACAAAUCGUAAAAUCUAUUGGGAGCCAAUAUAAAGAAAAUUAAAUAAGAGUAAUGUGAGCUUGCUUGGAGGUGAGAACAACAUGAUGUGUCCAGGCUGGUAAACAGGACAUUACAAUAAUCUAAACACGAUGACACAAAUGUAUGAACAGUUUUUUCCAGUUCAGCCGAGGAGACCAUAUGUCACAGUUAGAAAUGUUCCUUAAAUGAAAGAAACAGGAACGAGACAGAUUUUAUAUGUGAGUUGAAGCCCAGAGAAGAAUCAAAUAUUCCACCAAGGUUUU